ensembl:lncRNA
AUACACCAUCCUAUUUAACUACUGUCUAUACACACCACCCUAUUAUAACUACUGUCUAUAAACACCACCCUAUUAUAACUACUGUCUAUAUACACCACCCUAUUAUAACUACUGUCUAUACACACCAUCCUAUUAUAACCACUGUCUAUACCCACCACCCUAUUAUAACUACUGUCUAUACACACCACCCUAUUAUAACUACUGUCUAUAUACACCAUCCUAUUUAACUACUGUCUAUACACACCACCCUAUUAUAACUACUGUCUAUAAACACCACCCUAUUAUAACUACUGUCUAUACACACCAUCCUAUUAUAACUACUGUCUAUACACACCACCCUAUUAUAACUACACUCUAUACACACCACCCUAUUAUAACUACUGUCUAUACACACCACCCUAUUAUAACUACUGUCUAUACACACCACCCUAUUAUAACUACUGUCUAUAUACACCACCCUAUUAUAACUACUGUCUAUAUACACCAUCCUAUUAUAACUACUGUCUAUACUGUCUAUACACACCACCCUAUUAUAACUACUGUCUAUACACACCACCCUAUUAUAACUACUGUCUAUACACACCAUCCUAUUAUAACUACUGUCUAUAUACACCAUCCUACAUAACUACUGUCUAUACACACCACCCUAUUAUAACUACUGUCUAUACACACCACCCUAUUAUAACUACUGUCUAUACACACCACCCUAUUAUAACUACUGUCUAUACACACCAUCCUACAUAACUACUGUCUAUACACACCAUCCUAUUAUAACUACUGUCUAUACACACCACCCUAUUAUAACUACUGUCUAUACACACCACCCUAUUAUAACUACUGUCUAUACACCACCCUAUUAUAACUACUGUCUAUACACACCACCCUGUUAUAACUACUGUCUAUACACACCACCCUAUUAUAACUACUGUCUAUACACACCAUCCUAUUAUAACUACUGUCUAUACACACCACCCUAUUAUAACUACUGUCUAUACACACCACCCUAUUAUAACUACUGUCUAUACACACCACCCUAUUAUAACUACUGUCUAUACACAUCAUCCUAUAACUACUGUCUAUACACACCAUCCUAUAUAACUACUGUCUAUACACACCACCCUAUUAUAACUACUGUCUAUAUACACCAUCCUAUUAUAACUACUGUCUAUACUGUCUAUACACACCACCCUAUUAUAACUACUGUCUAUACACACCACCCUAUUAUAACUACUGUCUAUACACACCACCCUAUUAUAACUACUGUCUAUACACACCACCCUAUUAUAACUACUGUCUAUACACACCACCCUAUUAUAACUACUGUCUAUACACACCAUCCUAUAUAACUACUGUCUAUACACACCACCCUGUUAUAACUACUGUCUAUACACACCACCCUAUUAUAACUACAGUCUAUACACACCACCCUAUUAUAACUACUGUCUAUACACACCAUCCUAUUUAACUACUGUCUAUACACACCACCCUAUUAUAACUACUGUCUAUACACACCACCCUAUUAUAACUACUGUCUAUACACACCACCCUAUUAUAACUACUGUCUAUACACCACCCUAUUAUAACUACUGUCUAUACACACCACCCUGUUAUAACUACUGUCUAUACACACCACCCUAUUAUAACUACUGUCUAUACACACCAUCCUAUUAUAACUACUGUCUAUACACACCACCCUAUUAUAACUACUGUCUAUACACACCACCCUAUUAUAACUACUGUCUAUACACACCACCCUAUUAUAACUACUGUCUAUACACAUCAUCCUAUAUAACUACUGUCUAUACACACCACCCUAUUAUAACUACUGUCUAUACACACCAUCCUAUAUAACUACUGUCUAUACACACCACCCUGUUAUAACUACUGUCUAUACACACCACCCUAUUAUAACUACUGUCUAUACACACCAUCCUAUUUAACUACUGUCUAUACACACCACCCUAUUAUAACUACUGUCUAUACACACCAUCCUAUUUAACUACUGUCUAUACACACCAUCCUAUUUAACUACUGUCUAUACACACCACCCUAUUAUAACUACUGUCUAUACACACCAUCCUAUUUAACUACUGUCUAUACACACCACCCUGUUAUAACUACACUCUAUACACACCACCCUAUUAUAACUACUGUCUAUACACACCACCCUAUUAUAACUACUGUCUAUACACACCAUCCUAUUUAACUACUGUCUAUACACACCAUCCUAUUUAACUACUGUCUAUACACACCAUCCUAUAUAACUAUUGCUGUACACACCUUUUCUAUUCAUAUACUGUCCAUAAUAUUUAUACACACCAUCAUAUAUACUGAACGAAAAUAUAAACACCAUAUGUAACAAUUUAAAAGAUCUCUCUAAAACGAAUUUGGAGGCGGUUUAUGGUAGAGAAAUUAACAUGACAUUAUCUGGCAACAGCUCUGGUGGACAUUCCUGCAGUCAACAUGCCUACUGCACACGCCCUCAAAACAUGAGGCAUUGUGUUGUGUGACAAAACUGCACAUAUUAAAGUGGCCUUUUAUUGUUCUCAGCACAAGGUGCACCUGUGUACCGAUCAUGCUGUUUAAUCAUCUUUUUGAUAUGCCACACCUGUCAGGUGGAUGGAUUAUCUUGGCAGAGUAAUGCUCUCUAAGAGGGAUGUAAAGAAAGUUGUGCACAACAUUUGAGAGAAAUAAGCUUUUUGUGUGUAUGGAACAUUUCUGGUAUCUUUUAUUUCAGCUCAUGAAACAUGGGACCAACACUUUACAUGUAUAUUUUUGCUCAGUAUAAUACACCACAUGGAGUGCAUAUGAUAAUAUAAUGCUUUACUCUGAUAUUGCUCGCUCUGAUGUUGCUCAUUCGUCUUGUUUGCUUGUUGGAUUAUGUGUAUAUUGUUAUUGUAUUGCUGGUUAUUACUGUACUAGUGGAGCUAGAAACAUAAUCAUUUCACCUGCCAUGACAUCUGUGUGUGUGACCAAUAAACUUUGAUUUGAUUAUUGAAGAUAUUUUGAUAUGCAGCCUAAUCCAGUAAUUGUCCUUAUUUUAAGAUUGACAAUUCGACUAUAGUUGCUAUCAAUAUAAGACUUAAUAAGAAGUUUUUUUGUUCAGUAGAGAUUAAUUAAAUACAUCUGAUUUCACAAAUUUCAUGAAUUUAGGGUUCAACAUCUGAGGAGAUGGAAACACAACACACAUGAACUAGAUCAUUGACUCUAAGUAUAAUACCCACUGCUAGUA